rnacentral:rRNA from 1 species
AGCUCCAAUAGCGUAUAUUAAAGUUGUUGCAGUUAAAAAGCUCGUAGUUGGAUUUAUGGUAACGACGGAUGCUCGGCACAUGUGUCGGUGCGUUCCGUUGUAGCCAUCCUUGGGUGGAAUCUGUGUGGCAUUAAGUUGCCGCGCAGGGGAUGCCCAUCAUUUACUGUGAAAAAUUGGAGUGCUCUAAGCAGGCUUACGCCGUUGAACACAUUAGCAUGGAAUAAUAAUUCUAGGACUUCGGGACUAUUUUGUUGGUUUGCGUUGCGAAGUAAUGAUUAAUAGGGACAGUUGGGGAUAUUCGUAUUCCAUUGUCAGAGGUGAAAUUCUUGGAUUUCUGGAAGACGAACUAAUGCGAAAGCAUUUAUCAUGGAUGUUUUCA